rnacentral:tRNA from 1 species
GUCCCCGUAGUUCAAUGGAUAGAACGAGGGUUUCCUAAACUCUAAAUACAGGUUCGAUUCCUGUCGGGGACGCCA